UAGGGAUCUUCGGCAAUGGGGGGAACCCUGACCGAGCAACGCCGCGUGAGUGAAGAAGGUUUUCGGAUCGUAAAGCUCUGUUGUUAAGGAAGAACGAGUGUGAGAAUGGAAAGUUCAUACUGUGACGGUACUUAACCAGAAAGGGACGGCUAACUACGUGCCAGCAGCCGCGGUAAUACGUAGGUCCCGAGCGUUGUCCGGAUUUAUUGGGCGUAAAGCGAGCGCUGGCGGUUAGAAAAGUCUGAAGUGAAAGGCAGUGGCUCAACCAUUGUAGGCUUUGGAAACUGUUUAACUUGAGUGCAGAAGGGGAGGGUGGAAUUCCAUGUGUAGCGGUGAAAUGCGUAGAUAUAUGGAGGAACACCGGUGGCGAAAGCGGCUCUCUGGUCUGUAACUGACGCUGAGGCUCGAAAGCGUGGGGAGCGAACAGG
rnacentral:rRNA from 1 species